UNCGAUUGCGAAGGCAGCUUGCUGGACUGUAACUGACGCUGAGGCACGAAAGCGUGGGGAUCAAACAGGAUUAGAUNCCCUGGUANNCCACGCCGUAAACGAUGAAUGCUAGCUGUUAGCGAUAUACUGUUAGCGGCACAGAGAAAUCGUUAAGCAUUCCACCUGGGGAGUACGCCGGCAACGGUGAAACUCAAAGGAAUUGACGGGGGCCCGCACAAGCGGAGGAACAUGUGGUUUAAUUCGAUGAUACGCGAGGAACCUUACCUGGGCUUAAAUUGCAGUGGAAUAACGUGGAAACAUGUUAGCCUUCGGGCCGCUGUGAAGGUGCUGCAUGGUUGUCGUCAGCUCGUGCCGUGAGGUGUCGGCUUAAGUGCCAUAACGAGCGCAACCCUCAUCGAUAGUUACUAACAGGUUAAGCUGAGGACUCUAUCGAGACUGCCGACGUAAGUCGUGAGGAAGGUGGGGAUGACGUCAAAUCAGCACGGCCCUUACGUCCAGGGCUACACACGUGUUACAAUGGGGGGUACAAAGGGCAGCUACCUGGCGACAGGAUGCUAAUCUCUAAAACCUCUCUCAGUUCGGAUUGGAGUCUGCAACCCGACUCCAUGAAGCUGGAUUCGCUAGUAAUCGCGCAUCAGCCACGGCGCGGUGAAUACGUUCCCGGGCCUUGUACACACCGCCCGUCAAGCCAUGGGAGCCGGGGGGACCUGAAGUAUGCAACCGUAAGGAGCGUCCUAGGGUAAAACUGGUGACUGGGGCU
rnacentral:rRNA from 1 species